rnacentral:rRNA from 1 species
UACGUAGGGUGCGAGCGUUAAUCGGAAUUACUGGGCGUAAAGCGUGCGCAGGCGGUUUGCUAAGACAGGUGUGAAAUCCCCGGGCUUAACCUGGGAACUGCGCUUGUAACUAGCAGGCUAGAGUGUGGCAGAGGGGGGUGGAAUUCCACGUGUAGCAGUGAAAUGCGUAGAGAUGUGGAGGAACACCGAUGGCGAAGGCAGCCCCCUGGGCUAACACUGACGCUCAUGCACGAAAUCGUGGGGAGCAAACAGG